GAACUAGCCUGGCUUUUUCUCCACGUGCACGUGUUAGCAAUAAAUAUACUCUUCCUCCAUCUUGUUUCGUCGUUUUCCGAACUCUAUUGGUCCAUGGUAUCCGCAAAGCUCUCCUCCAGCACCACAUUUCCAAUGAGUUGAUUUUUCUCUUAUCCUCUUUUUUCACUGUCCAACUUUCACAUCCAUACCUAGAGAUUGGGAAUACCAUGGUCUGAAUGAUUCCAUGAUUCUAUGAAUACAGGUUGAAAGGGACAAAUGAGCUAAGUGGCAGGCACAUCAAGCAAAUCCUCAUCAUGACUGUCUUCCAUCUGGAAACCUAUGUCCUCACUGUGGGAGGCUAUGUGGAUCUAGAAUUGGCCUCCACAGUCACUUACGGACCCACCGUUAAAGACCUUAUCUUGGAAGACAAUCUUACUCGGCCACGAGUGAUCGCCAAUGAAUGAAUGAAUGUUAAACAACUGGGAGUCAGAAUUCCUUGCUGAUUGACUUCAAACCACCCAGAGAUCUACCAGUAGAUCCAGAUCUACCUUCUACCCAACUGUGGCGAACAGAGCCUGGCAGUGGCCCUCCAUCGCUUCAUAUACAAGUUUUUCCCAGCUCUACCUUGAAAUGCCAGAAACUAAACCUUGGAUCAUUUGAAUUCAAAGCAUGUGCUCUUCUGAGCUACAGUCCCCUGCCUUGUGCUUAAUUUAUUGUUUACUUUGCUAAAUAAAAAAGGUGUCUGAUCUGUGUAGAUAACAUUCUUGUCCAGACUGCUGUUUGUAGGUGCAUGCAACAUGUCACUAACUCAUUAAUAGUGCAUUUGAUGUGGGCUUAUACUGAACUGUCCAUACAUCAUCCCACUUUAUCACUUGUUCUGCAGUGCUUCCCCAAUAUUCCUACAUUAUUGCAUCUACACUUUAACCCUGCCCAUCACAUUGUCCAUGUUCCUUCGAUCCCCAAUUCCUCCCCCCUUGUUCCCAUGUGUAAGUCAGCUGCACUAUAGUGACAUGUCACCAUGCCAUUUCUAUACUUUUUAAGUUUUUAUAUUCAGACUGUGAUUGCUGUACUAAACCAUUGCUCAUUUCCACACAAAAAUCUCCCACAGGAAUGCUGGUAUCUGGCAUUAAUAGGAAGUAAAUAGGUAUAGCUAUGUCACAAAGAAGAGGUUGCAUGUUGGCACAUGAAAUGUGGGAGUAAAAAAAAGGAGUGGAACAUUUGUAGAAUAAAACAUUAUGGGAUUAUAGCAGGAAACUAUGGGACAUUUCACCUGAAGCAGGGUAACUGCCUCAAAACGUUUAAAGGCAAAACAGGAUCAUGCGUAACUGCAGUGACAGCAUCAUGAGCACAUGUCAAGAUCAGUGCACAGUAUAAAGAAUAUCUGGAUGGGCUCAUCAUCAAUACAGAAUGCAAAUGGAACCUGGAACCAACCAGCCAGUCCCUCAAAUGCAAUGAUGUAUCAUUGAACACCAAAGUCAGGAUCACCCCAACCCUCGAACACUCUACACUUCAUUCGGGAGAAUGUGGCACUCGCAGAGCUCAGACAGUGUUGAAUUUCAGCAUCGAUGACAGAGUUUGCAGAGAGAUGGCUUCCAAGAUAGGAAAAGUUAGUAAUGUUCUCCAGUGUCGCACCAUUAAACUGGAUUGAUGGUGCUACAGAGGGACUAGUUUGCACCUGUUGAUGAAGCACUUCUGGUUUUUUAUAUAUUAAGAGCCCAAGCUUUCCAUAUGUUUCUGCAAAGACAUUUAGGAUAGUUUGAAGAUCUUUCUCUGAAUGUGCGGAGACUACAUUAUCAUCGGCAUAUUGAUGUUCUGUGACAGAGGUUGACAUUACCUUACUUUUUGCUUUCAGCCUACUGAGAGCAAAAAGCUUUCCAUCUGUUCGAUAUAUGAUUUCCACACCAGUAGGAAGUUUCCCCUCAAUAAGGUGUAGAAUCAUAGCAAUGAAGAUAGCAAAUAAGGUUGGAGCAAUGACACAUCCCUGUUUUACACCUGAUCUGACUCUAAAUGGAUUGCUCUGAAAGCCAUUGUUAUCCAAAAUUGUCGCUGUCAUGUUGUCAUGAAGGACAUAACUAGGAGCUUCCAGAUUUUACAGUACUGCCCCCGUUGCCAUUUGCCAAUUGCCAUGGGACUUUUGUUUUGUUUUGGUUGGAAGACGCCUGUGCAUGAAUUUGUUUUAUGUGGGGCGAUUGGCGCACAAUGAUCAACACACAAUCUUGAUGGGAAAAGGCUUCGAUCCAAUAGCAUGGAUACCACAAUGAUUGGAAGUCUUUUAUCUGCUGCAGCCUUCAUCCACCUUCACAGCCGUUGUAACAUAAAAAUGGUUAUCCUCCGCCUGUUCUACCAUUGAGGACAUUCUUGGAUCAUUCUUUGUCUGGUUCCUCUCCCUUGACUUACCGCCAUGGGUGACCCUGCUGGGAGUACAUGACUCCCAACGGCAUCGCUCAUAGAGUUCAGUGGAACACGCAAACCCACUCACCACUACAAGUUCAGCAAAAUGAGAAACGUGCCAUUCCUAUAUCAGCUGCACUCCUCUCUGGCCUGGAAGCAGCAGCCUUCCGUUCCUGCUAACAUUCUCAUUGGGACACCCAGCCCUCCAAAACUCAAUCGAAAGCAGGCAUCUCAAAGACCAGAAUGCUGCAGAACUGAGUGUUUGGUUUCUUAACAUUUAUGAAACAAAUGAAACAUUUAUGGGACCAUGGCUUUCUUCUGAUCUGCAAAUACCACUUGCAGGAAGCCAGAUUUCGACUGGACAUCAGAAAAACUUCCUAACUGUUACAGCCAUACGACAAUGGAAUCAAUUACCUAGAGAGGUAGUGGGCUCUCCGACACUGGAGGCAUUCAAGAGGCAGCUGGACAGCCAUCUGUUGGGAAUGCUUUGAUUUGGAUUCCUGCAUUGAGCCUGACUUGAUGGCCUCGUAGGCCCCUUCCAACUCUACUAUUCUAUGAUUCUAUGAGGCUGGAAAACAUGGGGCAAGCUUGGUGUGAGAAAAAAAGGCCUCUACAGCAGCGGUUCCCGAACUUUUCCCCUAAUGGACCACUUGGAAAUUGCUGAAGGAAGAAGGAAGGAAGAGAAUGCUGCAGUGAGGAGUGUCAGAACGUAAGAAGAGCCUGGCUGUUGGAUGAGGCCAAUGGCCCAUCUAAUCCAGCAUCCUGUUCUCACAGUGGCCAGCCAGACAUCCCAUAAGCAGAACCUGAUUGUAACAACACUGUCCCCACUUACGAUAUCCAGCAACUGGCAUUAACCAUCCCCAUCAUCUGAUGUUCUCUGCGUGAUCAUGUGGAGAGUCCCUGGUCCAUAGGGCCAUGGACCCUAGAUGCUGGACCACUGCUCCCCCCCUGAGUGCCCUGUUUUAAUUGAGUCAUUGUUUUAAUAGGGUUGUUUUGUUGCACAUUUUAAUUAUGGAUAAUUAUAUUUUAAUAUUUGCAUCAUUGGUUUUUAUACAUGUAAACCACUUAGAAGCCAAUUUGGCAUGAAGUGAUGUAAUUAUUAUCAUUUCCUCACAGCAACCAUGUGAGGUAGGUUAGGCUGCGAGACUGGGUCCAUGCCACCCAGUGAGCUUCAUAGCUGAUUGGAACUCAGGUCCCUGCAUCCCUAACUUGGGAGAUGUAGGUUUAAGUCUAUACUAGGUGUGUCACAAGCAUUCGAGGAGAAAAGUUCAUGCUGGUGAACACUCUCCUCGAAUGUCCAUGAACAAGGACAGGGCAGGCUCAAGGUCACCCCAUCAGCUUCAUGACCCAAGGGGGGCUUCACACACUCAUCUCCCCAGUCGAAGUCCAGCACUCUCUGGCUUGGCUCAAUGGAACAUAGGAAGCUGUGUUAUAUCCAGUCACACCAUUGGUCCAGCUAGCACAAUAGUGUCUACGCUGACUGGUAGCAGCUCUCCAGGAUUUCAGGCAGGGGUGUCUCCCAGCCCUACCUGGAAAUGCUGGGGACUGAACUUGGGACCUUCUGCAUGCAGGGCAGAUGUUCUACAACUGAGCUAUGGCUCCUGUCCCAGCACACCUGUGUGUAUUUUUCCUAGAAAUUAAUCACAUAUUGUCACAAUAUGUUAACAGCAGGCUACGAAAAUGUCCUCUUGCCCAAUGGCAAGGAACACUUGACAUACAUGCAAGCUGUGCUCUUACCUUGUUGUUCUUUACCACGUGAAGAUAGAGCAAGCUUUAAAAAUAUGGCGGGAAGCGAUCUUGUUGGCAGCAGUGGCCGUGUUCCAGAAAACACAAUGAUUUAAAGCCCCAUUAAACAAAUACCUUUCAUUCUUGGCAUCAGAUUGCAGGCCUGCUAUCUGCUCUUUAAGCCCAAUUUACAGCAGAGGGCCACUGACUGGAAUCAUCUGAUUAGAACUGUUGUAAAACACCAUCACUGUCACAGGUUGCUUUUCUUUCUUUUUGUUUAUUUAUCAUUAGUAGCUGAUAGGCAGAGCAGCUUUGUCUACAAGGUAGUGUCUAGGCCGGAUAGGCUGGAAUAAUCUUAUGCUCCUUCACAGUGAUAUCAUAAAGGUGCUCCUUCCGAAGGGGUUCGAGGGUGAUUUAGGUUUUGCCACCAAGGGGAUCCUUGCACCUGGGAGAGGGCAAAGCAAGCAACAAAUGAGGCCUUGAGUGUAGAGAUAAGGUGGGAGGGAAUUAUUUGAUCAAUCCUUGUCCAACAGUUUCUCCCCUCUUGCCUAACACCUCUAAUUAAAAGCUGUUUUCAUAUGUGUGGGGUGGACUGAAUGAACAGCAUACGUUGGCAAACCACGCUGCUGUUCUCAGUACACUAUCUCUCAAGACAUUGCGAUCUGACCAGUGGAAAAACAGGAUGUGGUUAACUUUAUGGCUGUAAACGAUACUGACAUCUGUAGUGGUUAAAUAACUGCCUGCAUAUUGCCACGUAGAUAAUGCUGUUGUACUAUGUAUGUACGUGAUGUUAUACAAUAGUUAAAGGUCAUAGGCUGUUUAUGGAGAGAAAAUAAUCCACGCCUCCAAGCGGAGGUAAAAUAAAAGCGGAGACGA